rnacentral:rRNA from 1 species
UACGAAGGGGGCUAGCGUUGUCCGGAUUUAUUGGGCGUAAAGAGCUCGUAGGCGGUUUGUCGCGUCGAAUGUGAAAACCCGGGGCUCAACCCCGGGCCUGCAUUCGAUACGGGCAGACUAGAGUUCGGUAGGGGAGUCUGGAAUUCCUGGUGUAGCGGUGAAAUGCGCAGAUAUCAGGAGGAACACCGGUGGCGAAGGCGGGACUCUGGGCCGAUACUGACGCUGAGGAGCGAAAGCGUGGGGAGCAAACAGG